GUUGAACGCUGGCGGCAGGCCUAACACAUGCAAGUCGAGCGGAUGAAGGGAGCUUGUUCCUGGAUUCCGCGGCGGACGGGUGAGUAAUGCCUAGGAAUCUGCCUGGUAGUGGGGGAUAACGUCCGGAAACGGGCGCUAAUACCGCAUACGUCCAGAGGGUGAAAGUGGGGGAUCUUCGGACAUCACGCUAUCAGAUGAGCCUAGGUCGGAUUAGCUAGUUGGUGGGGUAAGGGCCUACCAAGGCGACGAUCCGUAACUGGUCUGAGAGGAUGAUCAGUCACACUGGAACUGAGACACGGUCCAGACUCCUACGGGAGGCAGCAGUGGGGAAUCUUGGACAAUGGGCGAAAGCCUGAUCCAGCCAUGCCGCGUGUGUGAUGAAGGUCUUCGGAUUGUAAAGCACUUUAAGUUGGGAGGAAGGGCAGUAAGUUAAUACCUUGCUGUUUUGACGGUACCAACAGAAUAAGCACCGGCUAACUUCGUG
rnacentral:rRNA from 1 species